rnacentral:rRNA from 1 species
UAAGGAAUAUUGGUCAAUGGAGGCAGCUCUGAACCAGCCAUGCCGCGUGAAGGAUUAAGGCCCUCUGGGUUGUAAACUUCUUUUAUAUGGGAAGAAAUGUACUUUUUCUAAAGUGCUUGACGGUACCAUAGGAAUAAGCACCGGCUAACUCCGUGCCAGCAGCCGCGGUAAUACGGAGGGUGCAAGCGUUAUCCGGAUUUACUGGGUUUAAAGGGUGCGUAGGCGGAUGAAUAAGUCAGUGGUGAAAUCUCCGAGCUUAACUCGGAAACUGCCGUUGAUACUAUUUGUCUUGAAUAUUGUGGAGGUAAGCGGAAUAUGUCAUGUAGCGGUGAAAUGCUUAGAUAUGACAUAGAACACCAAUUGCGAAGGCAGCUUGCUACACAAUCAUUGACGCUGAGGCACGAAAGCGUGGGGAUCAAACA